GUGCCUACACCGACUGGGGAGGAAGUUAAUGAUGAUGAUCAUGAAGCUUCAGGUCAAGUUACUGAACUUCGUAGGUCCACAAGGACACGUUCCGCACCAGAGUGGUACGGCAACCCUGUCCUGGAAAUCAUGUUGUUAGACAAUGGUGAACCUUCGAACUAUGAAGAAGCGAUGGCGGGCCCGGAUUCCGACAAAUGGCUAGAAGCCAUGAAAUCCGAGAUAGGAUCCAUGUAUGAAAACGAAGUAUGGACUUUGACUGACUUUCCCGAUGAUCGGCGAGCCAUAGAAAACAAAUGGAUCUUUAAGAAGAAGACGGACGCGGAUGGUAAUGUGACCAUCUACAAAGCUCGACUUGUCGCUAAGGGUUAUCGA
rnacentral:rRNA from 1 species